AUUGAACGCUGGCGGCAUGCUUUACACAUGCAAGUCGAACGGUAACAGGCCGCAAGGUGCUGACGAGUGGCGAACGGGUGCGUACUGCAUCGGAACGUGCCCAGUCGUGGGGGAUAACGCAGCGAAAGCUGCGCUAAUACCGCAUACGACCUAUGGAUGAAAGCGGGGGAACGUAAGGCCUCGCGCGAUUGGAGCGGCCGAUGUCAGAUUAGGUAGUUGGUGGGGUAAAGGCUCACCAAGCCAACGAUCUGUAGCUGGGCUGAGAGGACGACCAGCCACACUGGGACUGAGACACGGCCCAGACUCCUACGGGAGGCAGCAGUGGGGAAUUUUGGACAAUGGGCGCAAGCCUGAUCCAGCAAUGCCGCGUGCAGGAAGAAGGCCUUCGGGUUGUAAACUGCUUUUGUACGGAACGAAAAGGCUCUGGUUAAUACCUGGGGCUCAUGACGGUACUGUAAGAAUAAGCACCGGCUAACUACGUGCCAGCCGCCGCGGUAAAAC
rnacentral:rRNA from 1 species